UCGCGCGCCCCGUACACGUUUCGAUCCGUGUCAUCGUUACGCGAAAAGGCUAGCUAACCUUCUGAAUUUGUCAUGGAACACGAGUGAAACUAUCCUUGGCCUACGCGAUAUCUAUCACAGUCGCGAUCAUCCAAAAUACACGUACACUACGCCUAAAUCUUUUAGCUUCAUGCGGUUGGAGAUAUUUAGGGUAAUCGUGUCGAAAGAGAACGCUGCAUGAAAGCGUACGAUCAAACUGUAAAAUUUGUUUUCUGAAAUUGAUCGAUAAAUCGACGGUCCAACAGAAUCCAUCGGUAAUAGAAAUUGAGAGAAGGAUGCGAGAAGCCUGGAAAGACGCGCUAUAUGCAAUAUGAAUAUCGAAUAAGAUAAUUACUUUAUAUCCUAUUUCCUUACAAGUUAACUACAUUGCUUUGAUUUUUCUUAAUAUCGCCAGUUUAAUUUGAUCGAUUUGCUAUCGCUUUGAAAGUUCUUAGUAGCUUGACUAAAACACCUUGCGGCAUUAAAAUGAAGGUGAAAAUUGAGUUUCACAGCUUUACCACUGCACGAUAAUUUAUCUACAGCGAUCGAAUCAUUAAUUUAUCUCCACGAUAUUUCCAAAUGUUAUAUAAAAUUAAUAAAUUAUUCAUGUAGGGCGAGAUCUUAAAUGGCAGCUUAAAAAUAUGUACUUUAGCGAAAAAAACUUCGUUUUCGUAUUUUUAUUGUUUUCCUUAUUGACAUCUAUAUUUACAAGCUGCGUACACAUCGCAAUAUCGUUUAUUAAUAUAUUUAUACGUAUUAGUCAAUUGUGAACUUUUCCCUAUUUAUACCAUUAUUUAAUAAUUUACUGUCUGCUUCUAUAUAGAUCAAAUGCGUUUUCAAGAGGCCAUUUUUGAGAUUUUCAACUUUCAAAUGCAUAUUCAAGACGUAAACUUGUAAUGAAUUUGCCGAAACUUAAAUUUUCGAGAUUUCGACCAAAGUUUUCGACGAUUUUGUAUCAGGAGAGCAUGACGUCAUAGGAAACGGCACGAAUUUAGCGAUUUUUUAAAAUGACGUCAUAUUUCAGGAAUUUUUUAGAGUUAAAAUUUCGAACAAACUUCUGGACCGAUUUUAUAAUCGAUGUAAUUUUGUUGGUGGUUAUUAUUUUCAUAACUGGAAUUUCACAUCACUUCUCCGAAUUUUUGGGAACUGUGACACUUUAGUGCCAUUCUAAUUAUUUUGCAAUCUCAUUUUUUAGUUUGUGUGCUUUUUAGAGGCUUUUCUGUAAACAAAACGUAAAAAGCAAUUUAUUUCCAAUAUUUAGUGAAACUUUCAAGCAUUUUGUAUAUUUUCUUUAUAUUUACCCUCUGCUGGUACGAAUGCACAUUUUCCGUUCCGCCCUGAAUACGCUUAUUUCUCAGCAGCUGAGAAAAAAUGUGCGUAUAGUCCAGUCUUUGAUCGCUAGGGGGCCUUCGUUUUAUUCUGCAUUUUGUGACUGACAUUUUUAAUAUUGCAUCGGCGAUUUCCAUACUC